rnacentral:rRNA from 1 species
UACGUAGGGUGCGAGCGUUAAUCGGAAUUACUGGGCGUAAAGCGUGCGCAGGCGGUUUUGUAAGCCAGAUGUGAAAUCCCCGGGCUUAACCUGGGAAUGGCAUUUGGGACUGCAAGGCUUGAGUGCGGCAGAGGAGACUGGAAUUCCUGGUGUAGCAGUGAAAUGUGUAGAUAUCAGGAGGAACACCGAUGGCGAAGGCAGGUCUCUGGGCUGACACUGACGCUCAUGCACGAAAGCGUGGGGAGCAAACAGG